CUGUGCUUGGGUGGUUGCCUACUAUUGUUUCCAGCUGUGUCACUAGAUAAAGGGACAUUAAUUGAUCCUUCCAUUUAGCCUGAAUGAAGGAUACCUAGCACAUGCAUCAGCUUUCACCAGGGGGAGAGAGAGAUCACAGAGUUUAGACUGCUGCUGGCAACCAAAAGAAAACCAGUUCAUCAGACACAAAGGAGGACCAAAUCCUGGGACUGAUGCUAACAAAGCUAAGAUCCUGCCACCAUUUUGAAAGACAUCACUCAUCCUUGCAAGCACCUCCACCCAGUCGCAGUCUUUCAGGGCUCCCAUGUGAUCAGCGAUACCAGCAAAUGCAUGAAAGUCAUUCACAGAUAAUACGAAGAACAUGCUUACAUUCUUGAAUGUUCUAUGCCUGAUCCAUGCACAUUAG